AGUGGCGAAAGAGUACUGGGGACACUAGGUUGGUACAACAGCAAUCCUAAAGCAUGGAAGGUCAGUAAGGACAGAAAACCUGAGAAGCAACAGGCCAAAAGUCACACUUGAACUUGACUUUUCAGGAGAACCACAGACUGAGAAAGUGAGAUCUAUGAGCUAGCUUUCUUUUCUUUUGAGUUUCAAGCAGGAGAUAUGAGAAAAGUUACCACUAGGACAACUGGUUUGUGGCAGACAACCGAUCACUGAAACAUCCAUUUUUGAUCCUUCGAUGUUGUUUCUAUCAUUGGGAAUAGGAUUCAACAAGUACUACAUAUAGGAAAAGUUAGCUAUUUUAGACUGAUAUAAAACAGGGUAGUUUUACUCUACU
rnacentral:ncRNA from 1 species